rnacentral:tRNA from 2 species
GCCGGGAUGGUGGAAUUGGUAGACACGCGGGUCUUAGAAGCCCGUACCAGUGGUGUGAGGGUUCAAGUCCCUCUUCCGGCACCA